GGUUCAGUGGUGUAGUUGGUUAUCACGUCUGUCUCACACACAGGAGGUCUCCGGUUCGAGCCCGGACUGAACCA
rnacentral:tRNA from 1 species